GCCGCACGUGUCCUGGGUCAUGAAACUUAAUCCACAACAAGCUCCCUUAUGUAAUGGGACAACAGAAGAAGUGACUUCAAAAGAAGACGAAGAAGAAGAGAUGGAUGAAGAUAUAGAAGACUUAGAUCACUACGAGAUGAAAGAAGAGCCUAUUAGUGAGAAGAAGUUGGAGGGUGAAGGAACUGAAAAAGAAAAUCGGGCAAUAUUAGAGAAAAUCAGGAAGACUGAAAGGCAAGGCCAUUUAAAUAUUGUUCCUGACAGCAUCUCAGAAGAUGGUGUCCUCUGGCUUACUCUCUGGGAAAUGCUGCUCUGCUGGAAAUCCGGAGUUCUGAGUGAUCCCCAUGCGUUUUCUGCUGCAGAGCAGGACAUGCUGAAGUGAUUCCUUCCUGAGCAGAUGUCAGAGGUCUCCCUUUGACAGCUUGUUACAAAGUUGAUCACAAAUAUACUAUUACGUGUGUUAUGGUCCUCAUUAUUUGGAUGAAUAAUUUGAAUAAUAAGUCAGCUUGUGACUUACCCAAAUAAAUCUUGUGAUUCCU